UAGAUCCUUGAUCUGUUUUUCUUCUUCUUUCUUUUUUCUCCUCUGUUUCUCUUUGGUUUGGUUGAUCACUUGUUGCUGAUUCAUAGAGUUUUUCAUUUGCUGAUAUCAAUCCAUUCUCCAUGGGUGAUACUUCAACUGAUGUGAAUGCCAAUAACUCCCUAAAACGACCAGACUUCAAUAGCCCAUUCUAUCUACAUCCAUCUGAAAAUGCUGCGUCUACCUUGCUUCCUGUGGUGUUUGAUGGAACUAGUUAUAGAUCGUGGAGACGAGCAGUUCUUAGGGCAUUAUCCGUUAAGAACAAAACUGGAUUCAUCAAUGGUAAGAUUGUGAAACCAAGCUUUACAGAUCCAUCAUUCAUGCAGUGGGAGAGAUGUGAUGACAUGGUGACAUCUUGGAUCCUGAAUUCCCUCUCCCCAGACCUGCGAGAUAGCCUUCAAUAUGUUAACAAUGCCAAGGAAUUAUGGGAGGAAUUGGAAGAUAGAUAUGAUCAGACUAAUGGAUGCAAACUGUACCAAUUGCAGAAGGAAAUAAAUGACUUGGUACAAGGUACUUUAGACAUUACUGGUUACUAUACAAAAAUGAAGAAGUUAUGGGAGGAAAUGAGUGCAAUUGAUGUCCAUUCUCAGUGUAGUUGUGUGUGUACUUGUGGAGGAAAGGUAAAAUUGUAUAAGACUGAGCAGGACAGAAGACUUAUACACUUCUUAAUGGGUCUGAAUGAGAUGUACACUGCUGUGCGAGGGAACAUUCUCAUGAUGUCUACUUUGCCCACAAUGGCACAGGCAUUUGCUAUCUUGUCACAGGAAGAGAGGCAAAGAGAAAUGAAGCCUCCAAACCAUAUGGCUUUGGAAUCUACUUCACUUAAUGCUUCUAUGUUGCCUCAAAGUAAUGCAACCAACUCUGGUUCUUAUAGAGGAAGCACAGGUAGGGGAAAUGGAAACUAUAACAACACUGGCAAUUUCAACAACACUAAUACCUAUAGAGGAAACUCCAACAUUGGCAAUAGAUCAAAUAUGUUUUGUGAAUAUUGCAAACGAACUGGACAUGUCAAAGAUAGGUGCUACAAACUUCAUGGUUAUCCAUCCAACACAAGAAAUCCAAGAGGAAGAGGCAAAGGAUCAGCAGCAAAUGUACAUACUUUUGAAGGUGAUGGCAACAAAUGUGAAGAAAACUUUGAGCAGGGAAAACAAAUGCCAGUGAACCUGUCAAAAGGUCAAUAUGAACAGUUACUCAACUUACUUGGAAAUAUGCAUGGUGGAGCUGAAUCUGAUUACUUAAACAGUGUGUCAAGUGGAGCUGCAAGCUUAGCAGGUGUUCAAAAACCAUGGAGCCUCUGCUGGUGCUUCGAUGAGCCAUUCUCACAGCCAGAUGAUUGCUCUUCCCAUUGUUCCUCCAACAGUUUCUGCCCGUCUCGACAGUAUGAUGGAAUACUACAAGCAGACUGGAAAAUGCAGCCUGUGUGAUAUUCAACCAAAUGAGUUGUUAAUUGCUGAAUCAGCCCAUUUCAUAUCACUGGUUCCCUUCGCUGCAACUUUUGCUUUUGAGAUUUGGAUAAUUCCUCGUGAUCACUCUUCUCAUUUUCAUGAAAUAGAUAGUGAGAAGGCAGUUGAUCUUGGAGGGUUGUUGAAACUCAUGCUUUUGAAGAUGUCUUUGCAGUUGAACAAUCCGCCAUUCAAUCUUCUGAUUCAUUCUUCCCCAUAUCAGGAUGACCCCUCAAAUGCACCUUCUACACACUGGUUUUUACAAAUCGCUCCCCAUUUGAGUGGAGUUGGUGGAUUUGAGAUAGCAACGGGAUGUUACAUAAAUCCUGUUUUCCCAGAGGAUGCUGCCAAAA